UAGUAUGAGUGUUAUAGGGUUUGAAGAUUAGCAGGAGAUGAUCUUCAACUUCCUAAUAUGUUCGUACCAUUUGGUAUUAUAUGAUUUUGGUUCAUGUAAAGAUUUUUCGUGUUAUGAUAUUUUCUGCGUAUUUCUAAUAAUAUCAAGUGUUAUUCCUAUUUUGGCAUUUCUUAUUUUUUGAGUUCUAGCCUCUCUUAGCAAAGAGCCAGAGAAACUUUUGAGUUAUGAAUCGGGAAUAGAACCAAUGGGCGAUGCUUGGGUACAAUUUUGAAUCCCUUAUUAUUAUAUAUUUGCUCUAGUUUUUGUUGUUUUUGAUGUUGAAAUGGCUUUUCUUUAUCCAUGGGCAAUGAGUUUUGAUGUAUUUAGGGGUAUUCGUAAGAUUUUUAAUUUAUUUUUUCGUCAUGUCUUGUCAAAUAGUAUGAGUGCUCUAGAGUUUGAAGAUUAGUGGGGAAUGAUCUUUAACUUUCUAGUAUGUUCAUAUUAUUUGGGUAAGAUAUGAUUUUGCCUAUUGUGAUCUCAAAUUGUAUGAGCGUUCGGUGGUUUGAAGAUUAGUGGGAUUUUUUCAACUUCCUAGUAUGUCCAUAUCAUUUGGUAAGAUAUCAUUUUGCCUCUCGUUAAAGAUUUUUACUAUUAUAUUUGGGUUCUCAAAAUUUAAGAUUGCUCUAUGUUUUGAAAUUUAUACUUCCAAAAAAUUAUAAUAUGGUUUGAGUUCGAUAUUUGGGUUCUCAAAAUUUAGAAAUGCUUUAUGUUUUGAAAUUUAUACUUCCAAAAAAUUAUAAUGGGGUUUGAGUUCGUUUUCAAGCUUGUCAUGAUCUCGUCAUUAUUUUACGUAAUUUUGCACUUGUGCAGAUACUAUUGUGAUAAAUGUGAUAUUUGUAAAAAUCAAAUAAAGAAUACCGCUAAGUUACUCGUGUGUGCCUACGAUUUGUUGGCUCGUCGUAGUUCUCUUUAGUUUUUCAAUUUUGUCGUGUAAUUUCUUGAUUGAUGGAAUAUGUUUAUGGGCAUAUGAGCAGUGUCCAUCAAUUCCUGGACUUUUUUUGGUUUCAUGAGAUGCAAAUGUUAUUUCAAAAACUGUUCUGAGUCCUUACCUUGAGCAUGAACGUUGUUGAGAUAGAUUUGGUUGGUUGGCUUGAAAAUUUCAUUUUCUAGAUCUCAUUUUGAAAAUUGUCUAGUCAUAAUAAUUAUAUCCGUAUGAUUAUUGGGUUGAAAUAUUUGUUCUCUUUUCAAAUUCAUCUUGAUUUUUCUACCUUCGAUUAUGUUUUACCCCUUCUCUAUUUUCGAAAUCAUCAUAAUUGUUUUGAAGUUGAUUAGGUUUCGGUGUAUGAGCUUUCCAGAAUCCAUCAAUUUCAAACAAUUGGGUGUCGCCCACCUUCAGUAACAGUUAAGUCAUCCUACUACACUUGAUGAUCUUCAGGGCUUUUCUUUAUUAUUUCCAUUCCAAUGAUUAAUAGGUGUUCAAUCGUGAUACGAAUGCCAAGGUUGCUAUUGGAGCAUUAUCAAGAAUGGAAGGAAUAUGGUAAAUUGGUAUGUGGUUUUAUCUUUUGUUCCUAGACUUCUCCUGUGAUACCCUCCCUCAUUUUUCUUGUAGUAACAUGUUGUGGUAGAUGUAUCUCAAUGAUUAUUGUUGUUAUUUUUCGUAAUCUUUCACUUGUGACGAUAUUAUUGUGAUUGCUGCGAUAUUUGUAAGAAUCAAAUAAUGAAUACCGGUAAGUUUAAAGAAUAAUUCUUGUAUGUUAAUUUGAUGUUUUUCACUUUUGUGUGUGCCUAUGAGACGAAUUCAAUAUAGCAAUGACAAGUUAGAAUGACGAUGGUGGCAGCGGCGUGGGAGCAAAGAUACUGGGCGGGCAGUGAACGCUGGUAUACUAAACAGCAAGCUUUACGGGGCGCUUUGACGAGCAGCAACAACAUCCAGAUUUUUCUACAUUCGGUUAGGCUUUUGGAUUUUCCAAGUUUAGGUUUUAUUUUCUUAGAUUGCGUCGAAUUGGGCUUUUUGAUGAGCAGAGUAACAACAUCUACAUUUUUCUGAAUUCGUUUGGGGUUUUGUUUUUUUUUUUUCCAAUUUUAGGUUUGAUUUUCUUAGAAUGCAUCGAAUUGAAACAAUCCGAAGUCGAGUUCGUACUCUCCAUUCGUCGGUCUAGACUUCGAUUUCCCUCCCUUCUGUUCAGAAAAUUGUCUUCGGAAAUCAAAUUAGGUUUUGGUUUUUCCUUCUCUGUUUGCAAAAUCAUCCUGUUCUUCUGAGGUGUUUCUGUCUCUACCAUGUAGGAGAAGGGGAAAUAGUAGCUUGGAUUUUAUUUUUUUUUAACUCUUUUUAACAUGAUUUUUCUUUUACGGUUCGAUUAGUCAAGUUAGCGAUGGAGCUGGAAAUGUUCGAUGAGUACAAGUUUGAUCUCAAAUAGUUUGAACAUUCUAGAAUUUGAAGAUUAGCGGGAGAUGAUCUUCAACUUUCUUGUAGGUUUAUAUCAUUUGGUAAGAUAAGAUUUUACUUUAAAGAAUCCAAAAUAAUGUUUGUCUUGAAAUAUUACUUUGUGUUAUGGGGUUGUCUUGAAAUAAUGGUUGUCUUAAUAUGCUAUUUUGAAUUUAGUUGUCUCGAAAUGAGUAUUGUUGCUAA